GAGGGUAUAGCUCAGUGAUAGAGCGCGUGCUUAGCAUGCACAAGGUCCUGGGUUCAAUCCCCAGUACCUCCA
rnacentral:tRNA from 1 species